UUCUAUGUGGUCCACUUCUCAGAGCC
rnacentral:piRNA from 1 species